rnacentral:rRNA from 1 species
UACGGAGGGGGCUAGCGUUAUUCGGAAUUACUGGGGCGUAAAAGCGCACGUAGGGCGGACUGGAAAGUUGGGGGUGAAAGCCCAGGGCUCAACCCUGGAACUGCCUUCAAAACUCCCAGUCUUGAGGUCGAGAGAGGUGAGUGGAAUUCCGAGUGUAGAGGUGAAAUUCGUAGAUAUUCGGAGGAACACCAGUGGCGAAGGCGGCUCUCUGGGCAGAUACCGGACG